GGGGAUUUAGCUCAGCCGUAGAGCGCUUGCCUAGCAAGCACAAGGCCCUGGGUUCAGUCCCCAGCUCCG
rfam:Rattus norvegicus chromosome 5, whole genome shotgun sequence.